CGGCUCAGAGGCGCAGUGAGUCCAUUCACUUCAGAGUCACACACAGCUAAAGAGCAGCGCUGACUGCUGCAGGACUCACAGGCAGGCAGACAGACAGAUAGACAGACAGACAGACUCUGGGUAGCUCAAUACAACACGGAAAACUUUCUCCCCUGUGAUUUUCUGAGAGGAUCUGUUGGUUUGGAUUUUAUUCUCACUGGACUCCUCAGGAGUAGAAAAAAACAACAACCUGUUCAAAUAUAAGAAGAAGAGCUGCGUGGUUUGAUGUCUCAAUAAAGUGGGCCGUGUAGUUUGGAGAGCGUUAGUGUGUGAGAGACAAGUGCAAUGCGCCUCAGACUUGUCUGCCACGAUUGUGCCAUUUGCGCUUGAGGAGCUUUUAUGUCGUGUCAAGAGGACGCAGUCCAAUGUGAAUUACAAGAGUCAACUUCCAGCCUCCGCAGCGUUUCACACCUCACAAGCAAGUGCAGCACCGGAGUCUGACUGAAGCCGCCGCGCAGCUCCGACACCCCGGUCCCUCUCCCUCGAGGCGAGGGGAUGGUUGUGGAUCCUCUGGGGCCAGGAGCGACUCUGCGGCUCCUACACAACAACACUUUCUGCGUGUCUUGGGUUCAUUCUAACUUAAAGGGAGAUGAGAGCCGCACUUUGUCACUUCCUUUUGUGGACGGCGUAUCUGCUGCUGGUCAACGCUGAGAAGGAAGUGGAGUUUCCCCAGGAGCUGAUAGACAGACUGUCUCACAGUGAAAUCCACAGCAUCAGCGACCUCCAGCGGCUACUGGACAUUGACUCCGUAGGUACGGGAAAUGAUGUUAUCGAGGAGCCCAAGCCCCACAGACACCACAACCACCAUAAGAACUACUCCCGGCACCAUGGCCACUACAAUGACUUGAAGAGUUCCCAGCUCCACAGCAGACGCAAGAGGAGUAUUGUAGAGGAGGCGGUCCCAGCGGUGUGUAAGACGCGGACGGUGAUCUACGAGAUCCCCAGGAGCCAGGUGGAUCCCACGUCUGCCAACUUCUUAAUAUGGCCGCCCUGCGUGGAGGUGAAACGCUGCACGGGCUGCUGCAACACCAGCAACAUGCGCUGCCAUCCUUCCCGCAAGCAUUACCGCACCGUUAAGGUGGCCAAGGUGGAGUAUGUCAGGAGGAAACCCAAGCUGAAAGAGGUCUUUGUGCGGUUAGAAGACCACCUGGAGUGCGUGUGCACAUCCCAGCAUCAUGUGGUGGAGCACUCAGAAGCAGAAACAGGCCACCGUAGGGCUAAGGGUAAAAAAAGGAAACCUAAAAGGCUAAGGCCCAGCAAGGAUUUAUUGGCGACAUAAUAAAGUUGCACUCAUUACCCAAAGUCCACUGGAGAGCUGUGAAGGGAACAGUGGACGUGAGGUGAAACCAAUCAGAACAAUGGACUUCAGUGUGGGAGGGACCUUAAGUAAAGGAUGUCAUCAACACGAGACCUGCUCUGUCCUCUUCCCUGCUGCUGUGCAACCUUCAUUUAAGAAAACUAACAUUUCUGUAAAGAUGAGAGACAGAAAGACUUAAAUAAGAUGCCAAAGGUGCUUAAAAAAAAAGAAACAAACUGUGAGGACUUCCUCUGUGGUACACCACCUACUCAGACAACGGAAACCUGCCAAUUAUUGAGAAGAAAAGAGAAAUAUGCCGUGGAGCUUGGGUAGGGCGGAAAGAGGCCGAAGGGAGAUGAUGAAAGGGAUUUGUGUUGAACAUUUUGACUGACUUUGUUUGAACAAGACGUGCAACAGAAAUGGCUGUAAAACAGUUCAAUCAAGCGUUCGUGGGAAUCUGGUGCUCAGACUGCAGAACAGCAGUGGACGACCUCCAGCUGGGCAACAUAAAAGUGCCCUGCCCUGUUCCAAUGACUUUUGCAUACCCAGGAAGGAAGAGCGAUAUAGCAAAACAACGGCAAAUGUUGGAGUUAUGGAGGUGUUUGAUUUUGCAAAUGACUCUCUGUGGAGCAUCAAACAAUUUUUGGAGUUUUUGGAUGUUUUCUCUGGGUAAAGAAAAAAGCUCUGAGAAGCCCGGUGGUCCAUGACUUUUCCCACCUGCUAUGUACAGUUCAAUCAGAACAGGAUGCACCGCUACUUAUAAACUAUUUAUACAUGUGGACAUUUUAUUUUUAUCUCUUCCAGUACAAAAGAACAAUAUGAUUUCUUUUUCUUUUUGUUUUAUUGUGUUGGACACGUGCAAGAGUCCUGAGUGGUCCUGUUCUUUGACACCUUCAGUAUCACAAUCUCUGUGUCCUUGUUUUGUUUUGUUUUUGCUGUUCUUGUCAUCCGUGUUUCUUAUUAUAUUACAGUAUAUCUGAAUGAUGUCAAGUCUUGUAUAUGGUUUGGAUAUAUGAGUGCAAGGAGGAGAUGUGAGUCUCAGUGCAGGAAGAUGCUUUAUUUUUGUUAUGAAAUAUAUUAUGCUUACUUAUAUCCAAGCAGGAAAUAUGUUAAAAUUCUUUUGUUGUGGUUGAAUGUCUGUAUUUAAUCUAAUGGAAAUGAUGCAGAAACAGGGACAGGGGGUUUUAAGAGAUGAGGAGGAGGAGGAGGAGGAGGAGGAGAAAAAAAAAGCUGCCUGUGAUUGUUUGUGUGUGUGGAACUGUGAAAAGGAGGGACAGACUGGCUCAGACAUGGCAACUUAAACGAGUGGCUGCAAUGUAGCUUAUUCAACGGCCACAAAACAAGCAUCCCCAAAACCUUUAGUGUGUCCUUGACAAAACCAAAGGCACACAAAUAUGCUAGUGUGUGUGUAUGUAUGUAUGUGUGUGUGCGUGUGUGUGUGUGUGUGUGUGAUUUCUCUGUUACAUGAUGCCAUUUUACAUUCAUAUCACCUCAGUGUUGAUAAGGAAGAUGCCUGCCCGGUCUGCUUCAAGAAAAACACACACAUGUUGUGCCUGGAGAGAGCAAAGUCCACCUUAAAGAGCGAAUGAGCGAGUUGACAGGUGCAUGAAUGGACUCCUUGUUUAGCCAGUCUUUACUCCUCUGUUGACAGGAGAAUAAAUCUCUGCAGGAUCCACCCCUUUGAAGGGAGUCACACCUUUUGCAGCCACAUACCAUCAGGACAGGACGAUGAUGGGCGCUGAAAACAGAAACGGAGCAUGUGCCCGCUCUGGAAUAAGGAAUUACUUACCCCUACCUGUUCCUUUUUAACAGUGACGAAUGUGUAACCAAGAAAACAAAACGUCUUCCACCACGCGUUCAAGAAAUGUUCAAGAAAAGAGGUUUUUUUUUUUGUUUUUUAAAAAAGUCGAAACAGUGAGUCGUUUCAAUUGAAUGAGAAAUAAAUGGAAUGAAAGAUGGCUGUGUCGUCAACUGCUGAACUGUGAACAUCAAAUUGCAUAAAUGGGUGACAUGGUGCUACAUUUACAUCACUGUUCACAUCAGUGUAACACUGUUCUCAGUAAACCAGGGACCAGGCUGAAGAAAAUGCCAUUACACUAUCACUAAGUCUUUACUACUUUCCUUGUGGGCUCCCAUUGGAUAAAUACGGCAAUAAUCAUAAUUUAUAUAUUUAUGUUUUCAACAAUAAAUAUAUUUCUGCUUAUAAAAUUG